CCUAGGGUGGCAGCAGUGGGGGAUAUUGCACAAUGGGGGGAACCCUGAUGCAGCGACGCCGCGUGGGUGAAGGAGCGUUUCGGCGCGUAAAGCCCUAUCGGCAGGGAAGAAGAAGGACGGUACCUGACUAAGAAGCCCCGGCUAACUACGUGCCAGCAGCCGCGGUAAUACGUAGGGGGCAAGCGUUAUCCGGAUUUACUGGGUGUAAAGGGGGCGCAGACGGCAGCGCAAGCCAGGAGUGAAAGCCCGGGGCCCAACCCCGGGACUGCUCUUGGAACUGCGCGGCUGGAGUGCAGGAGGGGAAGGGGGAAUGCGGGGUGGAGCGGGGAAAGGCGUAGAGACCAGGAGGA
rnacentral:rRNA from 1 species